GCUAGAGUGGCAGAUUCCACAAUGAACUUUGGAAUCGUGCCCUGCAUGAGUGAGGCCUCCAUUUCCUCAGGAGAGUCAGCUGGCAUGGUUUUGCUUCAAGUUGUGGGUCCAGAUCAUUUGGGAAGCAGCAGAGACCUGGGGAUGCUCUUGCCUGGUGGGCAGCACAAGCACGAGAGGUGCACCACACAGGUGCGUUGAAAGCCCCUGCCCGUGCCAAGUCUGCUGAAGUUCCAUUGGCCAAAGCCACUCACUUGGCCAAGCCUGUAGUAUCAGGUACUUUAAUCAGCAUUUAAUGACCCAGUCGAAAAUUCAUUGUUUGGACCCAAGCACUGGUGGGAAAGGCAGGAGGGGAGGCCUGCCUUCCUUCCUCCCUCCCGAGCCCUACAGCAGGCCAUGGAGUGGUGAGCGAGUUCGUACAGUGCCAACCACAUUCCCAGAAACUUCCAGCAGAGGUUAAUCCUGCUCCUCUCAGGUGGGCUUGGCCCAUUCUCUAGACUUUGGAAGGUAAUGUUCUAUAGAGGCCUGUUCUGAAGCUUUACCAGGUCAAACCGGAGAAGAACCCAACAAGUAACUCAUCCCAGCCUAACUAUUCUUCAAGGGCAAUCAACCUACAGCAUCCAAGCACAGAGAAAUCAAAUCCAUGGAGAAUCUUCAAAUUAGGCUCAGAAUCCAUUUGGGUCAAUGAAUUUACUGUUAUUAAGAUCUUAGUUGUGUUCAACCAUGAUUUGACAUACCUUAGAGUGAGAAGAUAUUCUUCCUGGCCUCAGACUAGUUGAAGGUAGAGAGAGAGACAGGCCCUUGGGUGUGGGGAGACCUCUCCUGGGAUAAUACACACAAAAAACCAAGAGCUGCUCACUGUGGUGCAGGAGACAGCAGGGCCUGAAGCCAGAGGCUCUGUGUCCUUGAAUACAAUGUUUUACUCCUCUGACCCCUGUUACUGUGAUUUGGAGAGGCAGACAAUAUAGGAUGGGCUUUGCAGGCAGGGAGGUCCAGUUAUAAUCCCAGCUCUUACUAAGUUGGGUAAGACUCACUCUGAGACUUAGUUUCUUCUGUCAUCUCUCAAUAGAAUCAUAAAGGUACUUUCCUCUUAGUGUUGUUUUAAAAUUCAGUAAAAUAAUGCAGGCUUAGCACAGGGUCUGAUGUAAAUUUUCAAUGAAUUAUCGUUGUCAAUAUUGUUCUGGAAAACAAGAGGGCAUAUUAGAAGAUCAAAAGUACUGCCAAGCAUUGAAGUGCCAAUUCUAGAUCCAGUCUCAGCCCUCUGAGAAUGGAUAUCAUUGUUUUCAAGCCAUUCAGAAACCAAUGUGAAUUGAACACCUAGUAUGAGCUCUCUGAGGGAAGAGCCAAGUCAUGCAUUUUUUAUCUUAAGGGGUCUUCAAUACCUCUAGCCCAAAACAGUAUCUCCAUCAGGAUUCUUCUCUGAUAGUGUUCAUUUCUUUUUUCUCAAUGGAUGCCUUAAAAAAAAAAUCCUACAAGGAAACCUGUACUCCUCAAAUACACCACUCAGGUGACCAUUAAAUCAUUUACAUUGUUAAUUUCUUUUCAGAUGUGUGUCUUUUUCCCUAGUUACAUCAUCAGGACCUUGAAGGUAGGGACAGGUCUUAGAUUUCUUGAUGCCCCCAUAAAUCUAGGUACAGAGUAGGUCUCUGGACAUCAGUAUAAGGCCCAUGAGCCUGAUAGCUGCCCAGGUGGGUGCUGUGUGCCUGGGCGUGGGAAGGACAAAAGAGAGGUCACUAAAGGGGUUCCUGGGAAGGAAGAGCCCCUCUGACUUUAAAAGGGAGCCCAUACACUUUUUGGACAACUGGAAUAAUCAGAAAGCUGUUUUUGGGGAGGCAGCAGCCAGAAAAACCUGGGGCAUUGGGUCAACCAAAGCCCUUCCCAAGGCUGCAGUGGCUGCAGCUAGUUAGCCCAGCUUCCCUACCAGCCCCAGGGCUGCAACUGAACAGUGUUGGCUUCUUAAUAAAAACAG
rnacentral:lncRNA from 10 species